rnacentral:rRNA from 1 species
CAGCAGCCGCGGUAAUACGAAGGGGGCUAGCGUUGCUCGGAAUUACUGGGCGUAAAGCGUGCGCAGGCGGUUUGUUAAGACAGAUGUGAAAUCCCCGGGCUUAACCUGGGGACUGCGCUUAAUACAGGCAGUCUAGAGUGAGGAAGAGGGUUGUGGAAUUCCCAGUGUAGCGGUGAAAUUCGUAGAUAUUGGGAAGAACACCAGUGGCGAAGGCGGCUCACUGGACCGACACUGACGCUGAGGCGCGAAAGCGUGGGGAGCAAACAGGAUUAGAUACCCCAGUAGUCCCUGUCUCUUAUAC